AUUGAACGCUGGCGGCAGGCCUAACACAUGCAAGUCGAGCGUGAAAGGGCUUCGGCCUGAGUAAAGCGGCGGACGGGUGAGUAACGCGUAGGAAUCUACCUGGUAGUGGGGGAUAACGUUCCGAAAGGAACGCUAAUACCGCAUACGUUCUGAGGAAGAAAGCAGGGGACCGCAAGGCCUUGCGCUAUCAGAUGAGCCUGCGUCCGAUUAGCUAGUUGGUAGGGUAAAGGCCUACCAAGGCGACGAUCGGUAACUGGUCUGAGAGGAUGAUCAGUCACACUGGAACUGAGACACGGUCCAGACUCCUACGGGAGGCAGCAGUGGGGAAUAUUGGACAAUGGGCGGAAGCCUGAUCCAGCAACGCCGCGUGAGGGAUGACGGCCUCGGUGUAACGUACUUUCUAGUACCGACGAAGACGCCGA
rnacentral:rRNA from 1 species